rnacentral:misc_RNA from 1 species
AAAGUCGUAACAAGGUCUCCGUAGGUGAACCUGCGGAGGGAUCAUUCACAUGAUUACUUUUUAUUAACAAACUGUGAACUUUAUAUACUAUUCGUGUUGUAUUUGAUCAUUUAUGAUUUUUUAUAACAUUGUCAUUCGUUGAACAUAAGAUAGUUGGCUUGAAUUUUUAAAAUUCUUUCUCAGCUUUGAUUUGACUGAAAAUUAAACACUUUCUAUCAAUCAACCAUAAACAUAGAAACAACUCUAUGCCCUGGAUAUCUUGGUUCUC